rnacentral:rRNA from 1 species
GAGAUUUGGGAGUGCCCGCGAGGGAACCAGAACACACGUGCUGCAUGGCUGUCGUCAGCUCGUGUCGUGAGAUGUUGGGUUAAGUCCCGUAACGAGCGCAACCCCUAUUGUUAGUUGCCAGCAAGUGAUGUUGGGCACUCUAAUGAGACUGCCGGUGAUAAACCGGAGGAAGGUGGGGAUGAUGUCAAGUCAUCAUGGCCCUUAUGGGUAGGGCUACACACGUGCUACAAUGGCCGGUACAA